CAACAGACCUGGAGGAAGUCCACCUAUCUCACAUCCUUGUCCAAGAAAGGAUGCACUACAUAACAAGCAGCACCCUGCUAAAGAAGCCUCCUGGAUGCAGAUGGUGGCAUGCACUGCCACAAAGGAGCAGCAGCAUUGCUGAACAUGGUACAACACGGUACACACAGAGUUCUUCACGCUCCAGGAAUAACAAGCUGUGACAAAGUUAGUGGAAGCUUGAACAAUGGUUCUUGACAGUGGAAUAACACCUUAAACUUCUCAAGGGCAUGCCAGACCCACAGUGCUAGUGGAUGAAGAUGGCUACAGAGGGAAAAUUGUUUUAACACCAGAAGAACCACAGAGCCUGUAUCAGCUCCUCAGACAAGAUAAAUCAACACAGCCACUGACCUGAUUUCAGUGGCACUAAGCUAAUUUGCAUCAGCUGAGCAGCGGACUCAUUAUCAAUAGAU